UACGUAGGGUCCGAGCGUUGUCCGGAAUUAUUGGGCGUAAAGGGCUCGUAGGCGGUCUGUUGCGUCGGGAGUGAAAACUUACAGCUUAACUGUGAGCGUGCUUUCGAUACGGGCAGACUUGAGGCAUUCAGGGGAGAACGGAAUUCCUGGUGUAGCGGUGAAAUGCGCAGAUAUCAGGAGGAACACCGAUGGCGAAGGCAGGUCUCUGGGACGGUACUGACGCUGAGACGCGAAAGCGUGGGGAGCGAACAGG
rnacentral:rRNA from 1 species